GUUCCUGUAGUUGAAUACAACGGUGGUUUUUCAAGCCAUUAGUCCUGGUUAGAAUCCUGGUGGGAAUU
rnacentral:tRNA from 1 species